UGGAAGGAUCACCGAGGGGCCAUUGUUGGGGGAUAUGGCUGGAGAUAUACUCUGGGAAGGAGGUGCUCUGUGUCAACAAAAACAAGGGAAGAUGAGCCAAGCAAAAUGGGGAUGAAAGAUGUUUAAGGUAACCGUAUAACUGAAGAGUUGACAAAGCCAACCAAGACACUGCCUGGACCUAUGAUAAGGCACUAGAAAAUCCAGGGAUCAUCUGGAAUGCAAAAUUAAGGGAUCCAUUAGAAUGGAGGUAUCACGGCUGUCUUCUGGAUCACUGGAUUUUCAAUUCUGUUGACCACUGCAUGAAGGAAGAAAAAUCGUGAGUAGUCACUAUUUCAUGGUAGCACACAGUCCAGUGAUUAGGAUUUUAUCUAAGAAGGUUUAACUUUAAGUAUAUGUAGGAAAUGGUCACAUGUACAAAGAGAAGAAGAUAAAGAUGUAAUAUAGAGACUGCCCAAUCUUAGAUCCUAACAAAUUUUGGUCUCCAAUUAGGUUGAGAUUGCCCAGUGAAGUGAAGCUCAUGUCACUGAC
rnacentral:lncRNA from 1 species